rnacentral:rRNA from 1 species
UAGGCUGAAACUACGCCUACAUGAAGCUGGAAUUGCUAGUAAUCACAGGUCAGCAUACUGUGGUGAAUACGUUCCCGGGCCUUGUACACACCGCCCGUCACACCAUGAGAGUUGAGAAUACCCGAAGCCCAUGUCAAAGUGGUCGAAGGUAGGCUUGAUGAUUGGGUGAAGUCGUAACAAGGUAUC